rnacentral:rRNA from 1 species
AACGCGAAGAACCUUACCUGGGCUCGAACGGCUCCUUAACGGCAGUAGAAAUAUUGCUACCCCGCAAGGGGGUGGAGUCGAGGUGCUGCAUGGCUGUCGUCAGCUCGUGUCGUGAGAUGUUGGGUUAAGUCCCGCAACGAGCGCAACCCUCGCCCUUAGUUGCCAUCCCGCAAGGGGGCACUCUAGGGGGACUGCCACGGAUAACGUGGAGGAAGGUGGGGAUGACGUCAAGUCCUCAUGGCCUUUAUGUCCAGGGCUACACACGUGCUACAAUGGUCGGUACAAUCCGUCGCCAACUCGCGAGAGGGAGCCAAUCGGAAAAAGCCGACCUCAGUUCGGAUUGCAGUCUGCAACUCGGCUGCAUGAAGCUGGAAUCGCUAGUAAUGGCAGAUCAGCAUGCUGCCGUGAAUACGUUCCCGGGCCUUGUACACACCGGAGUA